AUGUACUUGCGCUGCGCCAUCGAUGACACACCCUCCAGGUGGGGCAAGUGCCUGCCGACGAAAGCCGACAAGAACCUGACCGAGCGCUCCUUCAGCGAGGGAGAUCAGGUCCUCCUCAAGCUCCAACCCUAUGUACAGUCAACGGUUGCCAACCGCCCCUGCCCCAAGCUCGCCUACAAGUUCUUCAGCCCAUUCAAGGUUCUGCAGCGCAUCGACACCAUGGCCUACAAGCUCCAGCUGCUAGAGGGCAAUCGUAUCCACUAUGUCUUCCAUGUGUCACAGCUGAAGCCCUUCAUGCUAGAUUACUCGCCGGUCUUCUCCGAGUUGCCCUGUACACCCGACCUCACCGCGGCUCCACUCCAACAUGUCGCCAUCUUGGAUUGA
rnacentral:rRNA from 1 species